AUUGAACGCUGGCGGCAUGCCUUACACAUGCAAGUCGAACGGCAGCGGGGGAGAAGCUUGCCUUUCCUGCCGGCGAGUGGCGAACGGGUGAGUAAUACAUCGGAACGUGCCCUGUAGUGGGGGAUAACUAGUCGAAAGAUUAGCUAAUACCGCAUACGACCUGAGGGUGAAAGUGGGGGACCGCAAGGCCUCAUGUUAUAGGAGCGGCCGAUGUCUGAUUAGCUAGUUGUUGGGGUAAAGGCCUACCAAGGCGACGAUUAGAUGUUGGUCUGCGAGUACGAUCAACCAAGCUGAGACUGAGACACGGCACCGACUGGUACGGGAGGCAGCAGUGGGGAAUGUUGGACUAUGGGCGAAAGCCUGAUCCAGCAAUGCCGAGUGUGUGAAGAAGGCCUUCGGGUUGUAAAGCGCUUUUGUCCGGAAAGAAAUGGCUCUGGUUAAUACCUGGGGUCGAUGACGGUACCUGAAGAAUAAGGACCGGCAAACUACGUGCCAGCCGCCGCCGUAA
rnacentral:rRNA from 1 species